rnacentral:rRNA from 1 species
GACGAACGCUGGCGGCGUGCUUAACACAUGCAAGUCGAACGGAAAGGCCCUGCUUUUGUGGGGUGCUCGAGUGGCGAACGGGUGAGUAACACGUGAGUAACCUGCCCUUGACUUUGGGAUAACUUCAGGAAACUGGGGCUAAUACCGGAUAGGAGCUCCUGCUGCAUGGUGGGGGUUGGAAAGUUUCGGCGGUUGGGGAUGGACUCGCGGCUUAUCAGCUUGUUGGUGGGGUAGUGGCUGACCAAGGCUGUGACGGGUAGCCGGCCUGAGAGGGUGACCGGCAACAUGGGGACUACGAUAGGCCGCAGACGCGUACGGGGGACAGCAGGGGGAAGUAUGGCACAGUGGGCGGACGCCGGAGGAGGAAGCGCCGGGGGCGGGAUGACGGCUUGCGGGGUAAAAACCGCUUUCGCCUGAGACGAAGCUGUAGUGACGGUAAUGGAAAAAGAAGCACCGGCUAACUACGUG